rnacentral:sRNA from 1 species
UCGAGAGGUGGUCCAAGCUUACGUGAAA